UACGGAAGGCAGCAGUGGGGAAUAUUGCACAAUGGGCGCAAGCCUGAUGCAGCCAUGCCGCGUGUAUGAAGAAGGCCUUCGGGUUGUAAAGUACUUUCAGCGGGGAGGAAGGCGAUGCGGUUAAUAACCGCGUCGAUUGACGUUACCCGCAGAAGAAGCACCGGCUAACUCCGUGCCAGCAGCCGCGGUAAUACGGAGGGUGCAAGCGUUAAUCGGAAUUACUGGGCGUAAAGCGCACGCAGGCGGUCUGUUAAGUCAGAUGUGAAAUCCCCGGGCUUAACCUGGGAACUGCAUUUGAACUGGCAGGCUUGAGUCUUGUAGAGGGGGUAGAAUUCCAGGUGUAGCGGUGAAAUGCGUAGAGAUCUGGAGGAAUACCGGUGGCGAAGGCGGCCCCUGGGACAAAGCUGACGCUCAGGUGCGAAAGCGUGGGGAGCGAAACAGGAUUAGGAUACC
rnacentral:rRNA from 1 species